AGCGAACGCUGGCGGCAGGCCUAACACAUGCAAGUCGAACGGAUCCUUCGGGAUUAGUGGCGGACGGGUGAGUAACACGUGGGAACGUGCCCUUUGGUUCGGAACAACUCAGGGAAACUUGAGCUAAUACCGGAUGUGCCCUUCGGGGGAAAGAUUUAUCGCCAUUGGAGCGGCCCGCGUCUGAUUAGCUAGUUGGUGAGGUAAAGGCUCACCAAGGCGACGACCAGUAGCUGGUCUGAGAGGAUGAUCAGCCACAUUGGGACUGAGACACGGCCCAAACUCCUACGGGAGGCAGCAGUGGGGAAUCUUGCGCAAUGGGCGAAAGCCUGACGCAGCCAUGCCGCGUGAAUGAUGAAGGUCUUAGGAUUGUAAAAUUCUUUCGCCGGGGACGAUAAUGACGGUACCCGGAGAAGAAGCCCCGGCUAACUUCGUGCCAGCCGCCGCAGUAAAAC
rnacentral:rRNA from 1 species